rnacentral:tRNA from 1 species
AGUCCCUUAGUGUAGAGGUCCAUCAUGAAGGAUUCUGGUUCCUUCGACCCCGGUUCGAAUCCGGGAGGGACUA